rnacentral:lncRNA from 1 species
GGGAGAGUAGGUGAUUCAUGGGUAUUACAGCUUCCUGCUUGCUCUCUCUGUCUCUGAGCCCUCCCUCUGCAGGAAGCCCGUGCCGUGUCCUGAGGACGGGUGAGCAGCCCAGUGGAGAGAUCUACCCGGUGAGGAACUGAAACCUCCCUGCAGUCAUGUGAGGGAGCCACCAUAGAGGCAGACCCUCCAGCCUGAGUCAAGCCUUCAGAUGACUGCAGAUGACAUCUUGACCACAACCUCAGAAUCGAUUCUGAGCCAGAACCACUCAGCUAAGCCACUCCCACAUUCCUGACUGUCAGAAACUGAGUGACAUAAUGACUCUGUGGUUUUAGGCUGCUAUAUCUGGGAGCAAUUUGUUCAACAGGAGUGGCACCUACCUGAAGUAUUAAUAGUUGUUGAGAGUCACCUUUCUCACCCCUUCACUUGAUGGCGCUGUUGUGCAACUGCAAACUCCUGUGGAGACGACUUGUCUCAUUGUACACCAGACAAGAGAUAAAAAGCAAGAUUUGAGAGAGGUUCAUGGAUCAACUGGCACCAUCUGCUUAGUUCUACAAAGUGGAGUUUCUGGGUAUCAUUCUCCAUUUCUGUACACAAAGUGCUGUGAAGCUCAAGAAGAAACAGUUCUGCGCAGGAUUCACCAUAUAAAAAUGCUAACAUCUGACAAACUGGACCACUCAAAGAGAAGACACCAGAGCUGGGUCGGGCACAGUGGCUCACGUCUGUAAUCCCAGCACUUUGGGAGGCCAAGGCGGG